rnacentral:misc_RNA from 1 species
AGACGUUUUGUGUGUUAUAUAGGGAGAGUGUUUUUAAGUUUGUGGGUAGUGGUAGUUAUUAAUAGUUUUAGUAAGUGUUACGGUUUAUUUUAUUAUUAUGUUGAGGUUUUAAUUUCGUAUUUUAGAAUGUGAUUGUGUUUGGAGAUAGGGUCGUUAAAGAGGUUAUUAGGGUAAAAUGAGGUUAUUGAGGUGGGUUUUAAUUUUAUAGGAUU